AUGCACGUCUAAGUACAAGCUCGUCCCGAGCGAAACUGCGGAUGGCUCAUUAAAUCAGUUAUGGUUCAUUGGAUCGAGUCUCCCGACAUGGAUAACUGUGGUAAUUCUAGAGCUAAUACAUGCGUCCAAGCGCCGACUCCACGAAGGCGUGCUUUUAUUAGGAACAAGACCAGCCCGGCUCGUCUCACGGCGUGUCCGGCAAAGACUGGUGAACUCUGGAUAACACAGCCGAUCGCACGGUCCUGGCACCGGCGACGGAUCCUUCGAAUGUCUGCCCUAUCAACUUUCGAUGGUACGUUAUGCGCCUACCAUGGUGGUCACGGGUAACGGAGAAUCAGGGUUCGAUUCCGGAGAGGGAGCCUGAGAAACGGCUACCACA
rnacentral:rRNA from 1 species